AGUUCAUUCUUUAGACUCUUGAUGAGUUUAGUGUCAAAUUCGGAGGCUGGUAAUCGUCUAAUCGUUUGUUGCGGUAGAGGCGGGUCACAAUACAGACGACGGCAGCCGUAGUGGGUCAAAAAAUCUACCGGUACGGUAUGGUAUAAUGAAGAUUAAAUUGGAUGUGAGUGACUAGAGCUGCUGUCACGAUUCAUAAACGUCUCUGGAGGAACGUGAAAUUGUUGAUUUAAUGAAGAGAAAAUGGAGAGAUGUGUGUGCAAUUAUUUUAAUGCGUGGAGGUAAACAGCCUCCCAUGAUGCAUCUUCAUCCUCCUCCUCAUCAUAUUCAGCAUCAUCAACCCAGUGGCACCUUUAGAAGGCAACAAGAGCCCUCGAAACUGCAGCAUAAAGUGGAUACAAUGGAGAUGCUCAAACUUGUUCUUUUGUUUCUACUGCUGACAAACGUCUUCUGUCUGAAUGGAGACAAGCAGACAAGUCAGAUCAAAAGUGAAAAAUUCGAUUUAAUUGAAGAUAUCUUGGCAAGGAUGGCCAGAAAACCACCAUCACCUCGGCGAUUUUUCAAGAAAAACACCG